rnacentral:sRNA from 1 species
GCCAGGUGUGGUGGUGCACACCUGUAAUUCCAGCAACUUGGGAGGCAGAGGCAAGAGGAUCACAAGUUCAAGGCCAGGCUCGACAACUUACAAGACCCUGACUCAA